UCCUACGGGAGGCAGCAGUGGGGAAUAUUGCACAAUGGGGGAAACCCUGAUGCAGCCAUGCCGCGUGUGUGAAGAAGGCCUUCGGGUUGUAAAGCACUUUCAGUAGGGAGGAAGGUAGUGUAGUUAACACCUGCAUUAUUUGACGUUACCUACAGAAGAAGCACCGGCUAACUCCGUGCCAGCAGCUGCGGUAAUACGGAGGGUGCGAGCGUUAAUCGGAAUUACUGGGCGUAAAGCGCAUGCAGGCGGCCUAUUAAGUCAGAUGUGAAAGCCCGGGGCUUAACCUCGGAAUUGCAUUUGAAACUGGCAGGCUAGAGUCUUGUAGAGGGGGGUAGAAUUUCAGGUGUAGCGGUGAAAUGCGUAGAGAUCUGAAGGAAUACCAGUGGCGAAGGCGGCCCCCUGGACAAAGACUGACGCUCAGAUGCGAAAGCGUGGGGAGCAAACAGGAUUAGAUACCCUGGUAGUCCACGCCGUAAACGAUGUCUACUUGGAGGUUGUGGCCUUGAGCCGUGGCUUUCGGAGCUAACGCGUUAAGUAGACCGCCUGGGGAGUACGGUCGCAAGAUUAAAACUCAAAGGAAUUGACGGA
rnacentral:rRNA from 1 species